GCCAUUUGAUGAACAUCUUAGUAAAAGUACAUAGAGAACAACCCAUAUUUCAAAAUAGCCCAACUCCACUGUUUCAGAGUUUCCUUUAAUUCUGAAACAUUGGAGCUAGUAUAUUUUGGCUGCCCUACCUGUGACAUCUCCUUCAUGUCCCAUGUUGGAAAUUGUUAUGUGACACACUGUGAUUAUCUAUGUGCCAUAAGGGCCAGGUUUCCAGAAACAUCCAGCUUCACCUUAAUGGUUCUCCAUUGCAUUACUGGUUUCAUAGGAUUCAAAAAUAGCAUCACGUAGAGCGUUCUUUACAAACCCCACCUGGGAUCCAAAUUGAGGAUUUUAUAAGAUCAGCAGUUCCACAAGAUUAAGAUUUAUAGCACCAAAGAAGAUUCUAAAUGGAGUUUUCCAGUUUAAAGAGGACCAAAGUUCAAAAGAUCUCCAUCAAAAGUAGACAAGCAACAAUCCUUCUGUGGUCUAACAGACCACACACAAGCUUUUCUAUUGCCUGCAGUUGGACUGCUUCCUAAGGCAGCAGAAGGCCAAAGAGCAAUCACAAUAUCGACCAUAACAUUAAAACUCUUUGUUCUUAGUAUCACUUUUAAACUUUUAACCUCCUGACCCACCACACCUCUAUGUGGCAUCUAUACGUUGCCAAGUGAAAUAGACUGAAGGCCUGUCACCUCUUCUAUUCUGAGUGAGAGAAAUGGUUGGUCUGAGGAAAGAUGCUUAGAAGGCAGGUGGACAAUGAAGCUGAUAUGCUGGAGUCCACAGGUAGAUUUCACCUCUUGGUUUUAACAGAGACUUGGGGUGGUCAAGACACUUUGGCAUAUGGGUUCUGUUUAUUUGUAUACAGCUCUGUUGGUUUUCCUCCAGAACUGUGUGGGUGGAGUUUGCUCAGGAUUCUAUUCUGUCCUGAUCUUUUGAAUGUCUACAGAGUUCCGGUUGUUCUUGUUCAAUAAAGAUGCCUGUUGCUGCAA